AUAUCAGUAAGCGGAGGAAAAGAAACUAACAAGGAUUCCCGUAGUAACGGCGAGUGAAGUGGGAAAAGCUCAAAUUUUAAAUCUGGCACCUUUGGUGUCCGAAUUGUAUUGAUAGAGCUUCCUUGUGACCGCCAGCAUGGCUCAAGUCCUUUGGAAAGAGGCAUCAUAGAGGGUGACAAUCCCGUCUAGGUCAUGGCCUGAGCGUGUCAGUAUCAAGGAGGCUCGACGAGUCGGGUUGUUUGGGAAUGCAGCCCAAAAUGGGAGGUACAUUUCUCCUAAAGCUAAAUAUUGGCAAGAGACCGAUAGCGCACAAGUA
rnacentral:rRNA from 1 species